GAGAUGAGAUUUCCCAUCUAAUUAAUAGAGUAAGACCCCUCAGAGAUGAUGAGGUAGAUAGGCUAGAAGUGGAAGCGUGGUGACACGUUGAGCGGACUAGUACUAAUCGGUCGAGGACUUAACCAA
rnacentral:rRNA from 1 species